CCUGGUUCGAAUGUUUUAGUUCAGACCGAGUGUUUCUGUCGCCGCCGCGGUGGAAAGCCCUGCGGUAUCCAGUCGUUUCCACGCCCAACCUGUUAGGUGCUGCCUUUCGCAGUGAGUAUUCGUGUGUGCGUCAGAAGUUCAGAGUGAAAUCGAGAGGAUUUUUGAUUUGAACUUGACACUGCAACUGGUGGACCUUGAUGCAGAUACUAUUAAUCAUCCAGCUCAACUCAGUAAAACCUCUCUGGCCCCUAUUACAAGAUGUCUUCUCCUAAGAGGGUUUGAGAGAGAGAUGGUGAUCAAGAAUUGUUAAGAUUCAUAGAAGCAGAGGAGGAUGAUUAAUUUCAUGGUGUAGAACAGUGAUUCCCAAAGAGCAGCCCAUGGAUUCGUGGUGGAGGAGCUUCUGAGGCGCUGUCAGAGGGUCCAUUAGGCGAAGAGCAUCUCCAUGGAAUCGUUUGAUGUGAUCUUGGAUGAGAACCAGCUUGAGGACGCCUGUGAGCACCUGGCCGACUACCUGGAGGCCUACUGGAAGGCCACCCACCCGCCCAGCAGCAGCCUCCCCAACCCUCUCCUCAGCCGUAUACUGGCCACUUCGACCCUGCCCAGGAGCCCGACUCUGGCCUCUCACUCACAGGGUCCUCCAGGCAAUCAGAGGACGGAUAGCUCAGCCCCGGGCUGGUCUGCUUCCCAAGUUGAAGCAGCAGCCUACCCGGAGCCGGUCUGGAAACCCCAGCACUGGUCUUUGUCCUCCACCCAGCACCACAACCACUGCAGUGGUGCCGGCUGCAGCCUCUCCGGGCAGGAGACACUGGACUCAGAGACANNNNNNNNNNNNNNNNNNNNNNNNNNNNNNNNNNNNNNCCGUGGACCACUGUGCCGCCCACCGUGACCACAGCCACAGGGCGGAGCCCCACAGAGGUGGUGAGCACAGACACCGCGAGUCCCGGCACUGCACCACAACGAGUGCAGCAUACAGCGGAGCCGCCACAAAUUCAAGGACACAGAAGGGCUUGCCAGGAAGUGGAACGAGGCUGGGGACUGCAACAAGGAUGUUUACAUCCGCCAGUGACGUUCCUCCUUUUGUGUUGUUGGGGGUUGGUUGGUUUUUUGUUUUUUGGUUUUUUUUCGGUUUUUAAAGUCUGGUACACCACCACCCUCACACUCAGUCUGGAGGGCAUCUACAUCGCAGUCAUAUUUGAUCUGUAUAUUUUGUACCUACUGCUUAACUAGCAAUAGCAUGAAAUAGGGUAUUAAUAUUCUUUUUUUCCUAAGCGCUACCUGAAUUGUCCUGGAAGGCUGCCAUCCUCUCGUUGCGGACUGGACUAUUUCAACUGUCUGGGCUUGAACAAAAUCUUUUGCCAUCCCUAUGGCAUUAGUAUUUUAAGAUGCAUAGCUGACAUUUUGCAAAAGGUAGUUGAUGUAUCCAGCUGGCCAGGACUGGCCCAUAUUAAAAGUGGGAUUUCUUGAUUCUCGUGAUUUUUAAUAUGUAGGCACCGACCUGAUUUGCAUAUUCAUCCAUGGACCACUGUUUCUUGCUUGUACCUCUGGCUGACUAAAUUUGGGGACAGAUUCAGUCUUGCCUUACACAAAGGGGAUCAUAAAGUUAGAAUCUAUUUUCUAUGUACUAGUAUUAUGUACUGUAUAGACAGUUUGUAAAUGUUAUUUCUGCAAACACCUUCUUAUGAUAAUUAUAUAUAUUAUAUAUAUAUA
ensembl:lncRNA